ensembl:lncRNA
UAGAAUCUGUAGGGCAUGGAGACUGCUCUGUGGCACAACUAGAGAAGGAGAGUAAGUAAGUAAAACUUCCAACUUUCAAAGGAAGUCAAGAACCUCUGUCCCAUUUCCUAUUACAGCAGACUGCAAAUUAAAUCUCCUUUUACUUCUUGGUUCUGACUUUUAUAAGGUAAAAGUCAGUAUUCAAUUCUGUAGCUGAACUACAGAUUCUGAGAUGAGAACCCUCGCCCUCACAUCUGAGCAAUGAGUAGGUCUCCUGCCCUGAUGCAGAGAACCAAUUUGAUGAAAGAAAGCAUCCUGGCACAAAUUAUCUGGCAUUAAAUCUUACUGUCACUUGCUAAGAAAUUUGAGUCAAGGCUUUUCUCAUUUGAUUGUUAACAAGAAAUUUAUCAUUUUUAAAAGAACUUGAUUGGCAGAGAACUUCUUUUUUUUAAUCCAUUUUUAGGGUUUUCCUUUCAUUUUUUUUUGUUUCUUAGGCUUUUAUGUUCACAAAAGAGUUUAGAGAGAGUACAAGGUAGGAUGACAUCUAGACUUUAUGCCUGCUCACUACACAUGUUCACCAAAUGGUAAAGUCCUCACUUUCAACCCUAGCAAGACAAGAUGAGCUCUAUCUGCCCAGCAGCCUUUCAGAGGCAUUAAGGGAUGUGGGGGACAGUUGGAAGAGUGGUAAAGCAGUAGAGGCAGAAUGCUCAUUUUGGUAAUCAAGGAGCACCAAAACAUAACAAAUGAAUUCUCCCCGAUACCUCCUAAGGAUGAUGACUUAGCACUCACUUUCUCUAGAAGUAAUGGCUACAGAGUUGAAGAGGGGCAGAUAAUCCAGGAUCUUCCCAGAAGAGACAUUCCCACAGCAGGCAGGCAAAAAUUUGCUUUUCUGAGUUCACAUCACAUGUGUGAGUAAAGCUAACGAAAGGGGGUGAGGUAUGUACAGCUGCAUUGGGAACAUGGCUAAUUCAAGGCAAACUCGUUUGGCUCAGAGGGAACAACCAGUUACUUCAGGCAAGCAGCAGAAGCCCACUUGUUAAUGAGCAGCUGGUUCCUGUUGAAUGCCAUCAGGAUGAUUCAGCCACCCACCAGGAACACCAGUAACAGCAAGUGCACGCACAGAAAUCUGCAAAACUUUCUUCUUUUGAUGCCAACACUAUUACUCUGGCAAAGUCAAAACCCUUUAUGGAUUUACCAGUUCAACUAAAUGUGACCUUGUUCCCCUCACAAAUACCAGCUCACUCUCAAAUAAACACAACUUCUGGCUGAUUAAAAUGCAACGUUCUUCCACAGUUGAGUGCACCCUGCAGUGAGUCCCUCCUCUGUGCUGUGUCUACAUUCUCUCCCUUUUUCAUUUUUUCACUGUUCAAUGAAACUUCAAAGGAUGAAUGAGAUCCAUAUACACUCAGAGUCCACCUUGUAUGUUGUCCUGCUUACUGCUGACCACAUGCAUUUAAAGUUAUGCCUCAAGUUGUUUUAUUGUUUCUAUUUUUAAGAAGUUUUCCAUUUCCACAGAAUGUGGUAAUAUGCCUUGAAAAACAGAAAUGUGUAGAUAAACUGUGCUGACCACAGACUUCAUUAAUACAUGAUUUCCAUGCCAUACUCUAGCCAGUUAAAAAUUCUAUACCUUCCUCCUUCAAAUCUAGACCAGAUUACAGACUUAAAGGAAGAAAAUGCCAAAGAUGACAGCUAGCUAUCAAAAAUGUUCUAGUGCCUCAUUUUCAGGUCUCCAAAGUAAAAUCUAAGGGCAUUCGACAAAGAUUCAGGUGCUCUCAAUAGCCAUGAAAAUAUAUGGCUGAAGAGGGAAUCUGUAAAUGUAAUGAAUACACAAUUGGCUUAUAACAGAUGCAACCAAAAUUAAAUUCAAGAUCUUGACCUACUCUUCAAAGUGAAAGUUUUUAGUUCAUGCUACAGAGAG